GGCAGGGCGGGCGGGCGGGCGGCCUUUCCAGCCUCCUCAGCUCACUUGCGGGCUGAGCCCCAGGCAGUUUCCUACGGUUCUCAACCUGCUAGUGGUCCUGGAACCGAAACUCCGAAACCUUCGUACAGACAGUCCCAGAGCUGCUGGCCGGGACCUGGUGGCCUUGCUGAUUGCUUAUCUCUGGAUCGCAACGAACGAAAUAAACCAGAGCAUCGUUCUUCCAGGUAUGAAUUUAUAGUAUUUGAUGAUUCUGUAUAAAGUUUAUUUGAAAAAUAUUGGGAGCAGU
rnacentral:lncRNA from 1 species